rnacentral:rRNA from 1 species
GAUGAACGCUAGCGGCAGGCUUAAUACAUGCAAGUCGUGGGGCAGCAUGGUGUAGCAAUACACUGAUGGCGACCGGCAAACGGGUGCGGAACACGUACGCAACCUUCCUUUAACUGGAGAAUAGCCCGGGGAAACCCGGAUUAAUACUCCGUAACAUUAUGAAGUGGCAUCACUUUAUAAUUAUAGCUCCGGCGGUUGAAGAUGGGCGUGCGUCUGAUUAGGUAGUUGGCGGGGUAACGG